UACGUAGGGUGCGAGCGUUAAUCGGAAUUACUGGGCGUAAAGCGUGCGUAGGCGGUUCGUCAAGUCUGAUGUGAAAGCCCCGGGCUCAACCUGGGAACUGCAUUGGAAACUAGCGAGCUUGAGUGUGGCAGGAGGGGGGUGGAAUUCCACGUGUAGCAGUGAAAUGCGUAGAUAUGCGGAGGAACACCGAUGGCGAAGGCAAUCCCCUGGGCCUGCACUGACGCUCAUGCACGAAAGCGUGGGGAGCAAACAGG
rnacentral:rRNA from 1 species